CUUUCUCCAAGUCCUGGUUCCCUCAUCUUGAGGAAUGUAUUUUUCUUCUCUUUCUUCUAUUGUGUACCCGCUCUCCUCAUGGCCCUGUUCUGCUCAGAGAGGCUCUCCUUCGCCACUGUCAUUUGUAUUCAGCCAUUGUGCUGAAUUACAUUCAGACAUUGUGUUGAGGUCACUUGGCUCUUCAUCAUCUUCAAAGCAAACAGCAGAGCACUUCCCGUGGCCAUUUCCCAGAUCAGUGCGCAAGAGCAGUUCAGGAAAACCGCUUUUAUGGGAGUGAAACACCGCCCCUGCCUGAUAAUGUGCCUUAAUUCAAAAAAUAUCCUGAAAUAUCUAGAACUCCUGAAGUAGAGAGAGAUCGAUUACACACACUUCAGGGGGUGGAGAUUAAACCAAAAAUCCAUGGAAUGUCUCCUACAGGAUGUAAAAUUCUACAUGAUUGGCCUUGUAUUGGCAGUUUCUGGAAAGCAGCAACCUUGCCUGCCUUAUAUUCAUUCCUAUGUUUGUCACAUAGGUUCUUGGCAUGGUGCCCGGCAUGUAUGGGUGCUCAAUAAAUGCUCUGUGAAUAAACA
rnacentral:lncRNA from 1 species